ensembl:lncRNA
UGGGGUCGGUAUGGGGUCAGUAUGGGGUCUUAGGGUCAGUAUGGGGUCGGUAUGGGGUCGGUAUGGGGUCAGUAUAGGGGGUGAUGGAGUCAGUGUGGGGUGAUGGGGUUGGGGUGAGCAGAGGGGAGAGAGAGAGUGGAAGGGAUGAUGUGGGGCUGCAAUGGGUCCCUGGAGAGCCUCGGAGGGGGGUCAGAGGUCAGAGGUCACGUGCCAUGGGGUCAGUGUGGGGUCUUAGGGUCAGUAUGGGGUCGGUAUGGGGUCAUUGUGGGGUGAUGGGGUUGGAGAGAGGUCAUGGAGAGAGAAGAGGGGAGAGAGAGUGUGGAGGGGAUGAUGUGGGGCUGCAAUGGGUCCCUGGAGAGCCUUGGAGGGGGGUCAGAGGUCAGAGGUCACGUGCCAUGGGGUCAGUAUGGGGUCUUAGGGUCAGUAUGGGGUCGGUAUGGGGUCAUUGUGGGGUGAUGGGGUUGGAGAGAGGUGAUGGAGUGAGAAGAGGGGAAAGAGAAUAUGGAAGGGAUGAUGUGGGGCUGCAAUGGGUCCCUGGAG